rnacentral:rRNA from 1 species
UACGUAGGUGGCAAGCGUUGUCCGGAUUUACUGGGCGUAAAGAGCGCGCAGGCGGUCGUCCAAGUCGCGUGUGAAAGCCCCCGGCUCAACUGGGGAGGGUCACGCGAUACUGGUCGACUCGAAGGCAGGAGAGGGUAGUGGAAUUCCCGGUGUAGUGGUGAAAUGCGUAGAUAUCGGGAGGAACACCAGUGGCGAAGGCGACUACCUGGCCUGUUGUUGACGCUGAGGCGCGAAAGCUAGGGGAGCAAACGGG